AUAUAUAUAUAAUUAUGCCUUUUUAGAAUAUUUAGAAAUGAAAACAAUGAAAGGGAUACUUGUUAUUUUGUUUUGCUGCAUUGUUGCUGCUUAUUGCAAUGACAAGGAAAAAAUUAGUGAUAAUAUUGUAAAUAUAGAAGAGAAUUCCAAACAGGCUCCCCCGCCUACUAUAUCACCAGCUGAAGAUGGGAGGGAGGCAGAUUCAAGCUCUGAAACUGAGAAAGAGAAACCAAUACCAUCACCUAACGACUCAAGUGACUCAAAUAAUGAAGACAGUGAACACACAUCUGAGAGCACUGCAAAGGAAGAAAAUGGUUACAAAAAUGGUUCAAUUUGUAGUUAUUGCAAAUAUUGUAAAUUAUGCAAUCUUUGUGAAGAGAAAUGUCCUUGUGAAAAGUCAACAAGUGAGCACUGUGAUAUGUGCAAGUAUUGCAAGUAUUGUAAUUUUUGUGGCACAGUAUGCGACACAGUUUGCACUCCAGGAAGUUUUUUGGACAUCUUUUCAUCGGCUGUUUAUGAGUAAGUUUUUCCAUUGCUUCAUAGAAAAAGAAGAGGCGUUGGCAAUUCAACAAACACCAAAAACAUUUUACAUCGCGCUACCCACGUUCAGCGAUGAAACGAAAAAGGAUAUCAAUGAAGACAUAGAAAAAGCGAAAAAUUUUAUAAAAGAAUAUUUAUAGUACGGUUAGAAUUUUAUCAUUCUAGUAUAUGCUACUUUUUGUGUUUGUUUGAAUAUUAGCUUAUAAAGUGAUUAAGCAGUUGCACCAGGGAUGGUUUCAUGCCUGUUUGUUUUUCCAGUUUUUUUAGGUUCAAAUUUAUAUUUUUAUACCAAGGUAUAUCUUUAUCCUCAUAUGUCAAAUCUCAAAAAAAAAGCAUUAUAUUCAGUGAUUUUGUUAUUCACAAAAGUUUUCGACCCUUGCUGUUUCUUGUACACAGCUGUACUAUUUGAAAGUAACCACCUUCUACGCUUCUUUUUCUCACCCACCCACACGGACUUAUCUACGUAUGUAAUUAAUAAAUGUUCAUAUGGCAACGAGAUGGAUUAAAUUUAGCCCACUGACAUUGUUACCAUUCAUGAGCUUGCAUAAUUUUUGAAACUGAAAUUUUUUAUUAAAUGACGAGGCGUCUUUUAUAGCCAAUUGGAUGAUAUGGACUAUUUCAUAUUUUUUUUUGUAAUCAGAUUAAAAAGAGCUUUUUCCUGAUGAAGGUAUAAUGAUUGUAUACGGAAUAUGGUCGACCUCUUAAGCGUUGCCAUAGUGAUUUUUAAUUUCUUGUGUAACUACGUUAUAUAUAUUACAUAGUUUUAUUAAAAAAAAUAUUUUUUAUAUUUGAUGUUUUUAAACAAUAGAGUCUAUUUUGUGCUUCAUAAUAUACUUAUUGUAUUGCCGUUUAAAAUGAUGUAUAGAGUUAUUACGAUGAGUUUUGUUAUUGUUGAAAAACUACGGCGUCCGAA